UCCGACGAGUUUGAAGACGUAAAUCGCAGCGGGUGGCGGAGAGUGUUGAGGUGGAAGAUGUGUUGAAAGAAGAGGAGAAAUAUAAUGAGAUAGCAGGAUUUAGAGGUGAUGAACAGUAUUUGUGAUUGCUUUGUGACUGGAAGAUGGGAAGCAGAUAAAGAUGCUCAGAAACUUUUGGACGAUGAUGAGACUGGGGAUGUACACAAGGGAAAAUCUGCUGAGCCAGAGGAAGAGAAGGAAGAGGAGGAGGUAUGCUUUCACCACCUUUCAGAUAUGGCCCUCUUCCUAGCACACAAACCCCUCAUGUAGAAGGAGGAUUUACUGACAGUCUCUAUGGCUGAGGGAGAGGAUGGGUAUAGUUUAGAGAGGCAGGGAGGCAUUGGACCUUCCCCUAUUUACUGAAAAAAUGGGGGUUGAAGCAGGAAUCAUUUGAACAUUUGUGUUGGUUGCUAUUACCCUCCAUGAUCAGGAUUGUUUUGAGAUUUUUUUCCUUUAUUUGAAGGAGAUGACACAAAAUUGCACAGGAAGCAGCCACAAAGUUGAGUGUCCUUUAGCCUAUCAUUGCUCCUUUCUUUUAGAAACUGAUUAAUAGAUUAGUCUGGAUAAAGGUGGCCAGUGGAAUGCCUUGAGACUAUCUUUAACUCCUCUUCAUUUAACAUUUUUGUCAGCAAUUUGGAGAAGAAACACAGAUGUUAUAUUUAACAAAUUUAUGGAUGUUAAUAUAUUGGCGGACAGAGAGGGCAUUAAAAAUCUUGAUAGCCUGGAAUAAUGAAUCACAUUUAAUAAAAUGAAAUUUAAUAAAAUCAAGACCUUCAUUUUCUCAUCUAUAAAAAUGGACUAGUUGAUCUCUAAGGCCUUUUCUAGAUUUGACAGUCCGGGAUUCUGAAUGUAAAAUUCUGUACUUUAGAAAAUCAAAUACACAGGUUUAGACUAUAGUACUUAUAGCUAGAUACAAGUUUAAAAUGUCAGAGUGUUGCAUCUGCCAAAAACCAUUACAGCUUUAGCUUAAACUUUUGUAAUUCCUGAACGAAGUCUAUGACUGCCUGCCCUCUAUUCUGUGGGAGUCAGACAUGCUAGGUCUGGAUUAUUAGAUUCAGUUCUUCCACACUUAGGAAAGUUGUUGCCAAGCUUGGUGCAUGCCCAGAGAAAGUGACCAGGAAGAUGAAGGACCUGGAAGCCAUGUCACAUGAGGAGGACUAAUUGACGUAAUUAGGAGUAGCGUAGAGAAGAUGUGUGUGGAAAUGACAAGGAAGCAAGCUUUGACUUAGUUUCAGGGAACACUUUGUAAAAAUUAGAGCUCCUCAAAAAUGGAAUAUGCUGCCAGUGCCAGAAGGAAGUAUUCAGGCAAAGGGUGACUGACCCCUUGUUGAAGCCUACUGACACAGUGUUCACUCCAGAGGAUACAAAUGGGAACCCUGGAAGCAGAGAAGAGAGCAAGCUGUUAACUCAAGAGAGAGAAAACUCUGGCAGUCUAGGCAGGCUCUGCAGAGGAAAAGACCCCAGAGCCCCAGCUGAGCAACCCACUCAGCAGAGACACUGACCCCAAGGGAAGGUGUAUGAAGAUUCAAUGGAAAGAGAAAGAAAUUCCAGGCUCUGUAGUACUGGGUGGGCUGAGUCUUCCUUUGCCACAACACUUUGAUACACAUGUGCCUCACUAUCCUUGUACUUUAUGUUUGAGCCCAUUCUUUCCAAAAAUAUUGUUUGUAUUUGUGGGAGGGUGCAACUCAGUUUCAUGGGAGGCAUGUUUUGUUUUGUUCUUACUAUUCCAUCUUAAUAAAUGCGUUUGCUAAGAGCUAA